UACGGCCACAUCACGUUGAAAUACCGGUUCCCGUACAAUUAUCGAAGUUAAACAAUGUCGAGCCUGAUCAGUACAUUGAUGGGUGACCGCUUGGGAAUACCGGCGGCUGUAAG